CCUACGGUGGGCUGCAGUGGGGAAUAUUGGACAAUGGGCGAAAGCCUGAUCCAGCCAUGCCGCGUGUGUGAAGAAGGCCUUCGGGUUGUAAAGCACUUUCAGUGGGGAAGAAAGCCUUGGGGCUAAUACCCUCGAGGAAGGACAUCACCCACAGAAGAAGCACCGGCUAACUCCGUGCCAGCAGCCGCGGUAAUACGGAGGGUGCGAGCGUUAAUCGGAAUUACUGGGCGGAAAGCGCGCGUAGGCGGUCUGAUAAGCCGGUUGUGAAAGCCCCGGGCUCAACCUGGGAACGGCAUCCGGAACUGUCAGGCUAGAGUGCAGGAGAGGAAGGUAGAAUUCCCGGUGUAGCGGUGAAAUGCGUAGAGAUCGGGAGGAAUACCAGUGGCGAAGGCGGCCUUCUGGACUGACACUGACGCUGAGGUGCGAAAGCGUGGGUAGCAAACAGGAUUAGAUACCCGGGUAGUC
rnacentral:rRNA from 1 species